GGGAGGAAAGUGCUGGAAGUAAUUGCUUGUGGGGAGAUUCAGUGAGGGAGGGCUGAGUUCCCUUCACCCCAAAGUUGCAAGUAAAAAGGAGACCAGCCAUUUUCGCGGUGAUUGGAGUAGACACAUGAAGGAUAAGGGAGGAACUCAUUAAUUUUGGCAAGGCUGAAAUCAAAUGCAGAUGUGCUGUUGAUUGCAACAUGGCAAAGAACCAAAGGCUGCCAUCAACGUUUUGUGCCGUGGAGUUUAGUACAAUCAAGGGCAAUAAAUUGGUGGUUCCCAACCUUGGAUCCCCAGAUGUUGUUGGACUACCACUCCCGUCAUCUUCAAUUAACUGUGCAUCUCUACCUGAAGAAUGACCAGCUUGCAGGCAACACAGCUUUCAGGUAGGGCAGGAGAAAGAAGAGCAACCUGAGCUGUCUCCUGUGGGGGCCUCUGGCUGCUUAUGAUGAGACACUACUGCUACAAAGACUGUCCUUCACUUUUGAUCGCUAAACAGCGGAUGUUUUUCUCAUGACUGCAGGCAGGAGCCUGGCUUUUCCUUGGAUAGUUGUGUCAAACACAGUCCCAUGGAUGGAGCUUUCUUGCUAAAGCAAGAGGUGCCAUACAGAAUAGCCUGUCCCAUAACAUUCUUCAUCUGAUCAUAUUUUGCUCUAAUUCAA